GUGAGGUUCAAGUAAGUGGUAGUACUCAAUGUGGAUAAGUCCACUCAGCAUGCGCUUGCCAGGUGACUGAAAGAGUCAAUUUGUCCUGAUAUUUUAUUACUGCUGUCGACGACUAAUAGUUAGUUUUUGGAAUAGAAGAUGUGCCAUUAUCACUAGGCACUAGCCUCAACAGUGGGAUAAAGUCAACGAAAGGCGAUAACCAGUUAUAUCAUACGAUCAUUUUGUGGAUUACUAGGUACCCAACGUUGCAAAACAAGAAGAAAAACAGUCCGAUCUAUUUUGAUUGUUAGUGAACAAUUAUUUUAUUAUUUCCUUUUAUCUUUAUCUUUUGUUUGGCGCCCAGCAUUAAUAUGGAGUUCAUUAAAAUUGUAUUCUUCUAUUCCAAAAGAUUUUGAUUUUAUACUUUUCUUUUGGUUCAUAUGGGUCCAACUGAUGGAUAUCUCAAUAAAAAGGCUAUUUUCAACAAACGGAAUAGAGCUGAAGAUAUCAAUGAAAUAGUGAAGAAAAUGAAGAUCAAUGAAAAUCGAAAAGUGACACAAUAAAUUCAAUUUGGUGGUAAUUUUAUGGCGAAGUUUACGAUUAUAGUCCAGUAUCCAGAUUUAUGGCCAGUUGUCGGCAUCGAUGCGGUGGAAAUUUGUGUGAUCUCAAGUGAAUAAUUAGUUUUUUUCGUUUCUGUAAUUGUUGGCCCACCGAGGAAAAAUCGUAAAAUAAAGUGUGCAUUGAAAAUUAAUCCUAAAGAGGAGUGCAGUAGCAGAGAAAAUCGAAACAUAGCAAGCCGAAAAUGGAAGCGUGAAACAACAAGUUUUACUGUUCCGAAACAGUAAAAAAUAUUUUUAUAGCAAGGAAAGGAGUUGAUAUUAUUCGGAAUAAUGUCGCUUGGCGUUUUACGAGAGAAGCCGUCCGGUUUAUUGCGGUCAAUCUGUCUCAACAGCGCAGUGGAUAAAUUGAUCGAUGAGUGGUGGAAACUACCUUGGUUUUCGCGUGGUAGAUUGAAAUGUGUGAAUUUACCAAACACACGGAUACGGUUUUACUGGAAGCAGGUAAAUUAUGAAUUCUUUUAAUGCUGUACUCGAUUAUUAUUAUACUGAAAAGUGUUUUGUAAAAUUUCACGGUCGCUAUAACAUAUUAUCACCCAAAGUUGAUUGUCCGGUUAUUUUCAUUCCAUAUGGAGUUACCACCAAGGCUUAAUUCGCAGCAAUCAUCCACCACUUUCGCACUCCUUAAAUAUUUUAUUAUUAUUAAAUUGUGUUACUAUCUAUUUACCUUUCAACCAGUUCUUGUCUCUUUUACAAAUUAUUGUUUUUUUCC